rnacentral:pre_miRNA from 1 species
CUUGCAGGGGCGGGAUCCCUCAGCAAAGAUUGCGAGAGGGUGCAGGCCAGGCUGAGGGACCCCCACUGGUGCAUG